GACGUAGGGCGCGAGCGUUUGUCCGGAUUUAUUGGGCGUAAAGAGCUCGUAGGCGGCUUGUCGCGUCGACUGUGAAAACCCGCGGCUUAACUGCGGGACUGCAGUCGAUACGGGCAGGCUAGAGUUCGGUAGGGGAGACUGGAAUUCCUGGUGUAGCGGUGAAAUGCGUAGAUAUCAGGAGGAAUACCGAUGGCGAAGGCAGGUCUCUGGGCUGACACUGACGCUCAUGCACGAAAGCGUGGGGAGCAAACAGG
rnacentral:rRNA from 1 species